ensembl:lncRNA
CCCAGAAGUGGAUUUUCUCCCCCAGAUCCUACUUUUCGCCCCGCAGUUAAGCAUCAUCUCCCACAAAAUACCACCUUUCAAACGAAAAAGAAGACCUCAGGAGCACGCUUCACAAGCUCAAGACUGCAGCACGGCAAGCUGGCAAGAGAGGAUUCUGAACUGCCAUCCUUUACACUUCCAGCCACAGCGGGCUCUGUCACGUACAGCUGCGUAGUAACAGACGGGCAGUGGCAGGGCCCUUUCUUGCCGCUCCUCUGAUACUUACGACCAAAUCUAGAAAGAAAUCGAAGCAGUUGUUCUCUGUAGAAACUAUGCCUAACCUUGUUCCUUCUACCAGCAGACAAGCCCAACACAUGCCUGCCAGUCCAAUGGUGGGUAGAAGUGUUUGGUUUGUUGUUUUGGUUGCCGUUUUUUGGUUUUUGUUUUUUUUUUCUGGGAGGGGGGGGGAGAAAAUGUCGUGUUUCCGAAAGAAGUGUAGUAUUUUGGAGAGAAAACGUUUUGUUUUCGUUUGAAAGGUGGUAUUUUGUGGGAGAUGAUGCUUAACUGCGGGGCGAAAAGUAGGAUCUGGGGGAGAAAAUCCACUUCUGGGUCGGAAAGAAUAGGACAUUUUCUCCCCCAAGUACCCCUUGUCUCACCGAAACAAGACUCUUUCUCCACUAAAUACCACUGCUCUCCACAAAACAUGACUUCUCGCCUGCCAAAUACAAAGCUGUUUGCUUUCCAAAAAGACGACGUUUCCUUCGCGCGCUCCCUUUUUUCUCCACAACAUGCAAAUUCUCUCUCCAAAACAGGACAGUUUCUCCCCCAAACGCUACUUUUCUCCAGAACAUAGGGCCCUUCCUUCGCGCAUCAUGCCACAUUUCUCCUGAAAAUAUACAGCUCUUCCUUGCAAAAUACCACUGUUCUCCCAAAGACAUGACCACUUUUCUUCCCACACCAUACCACUCUUCUCCAAAACUACGAUCUCUCCUCUCAAAAACGCCACUUUUCUCCCAAAAAUACGACUGUUUCUUCCCCUCAGGACCUCAUUUCUCCUCCAUAGAUGAGACUUUCUCGACCCAAAUCUCACUUUCGUCAAGAAAAGAAGGCAUUUUCCCGACCACAAAACCACUCUUCACCCCCAAAUCAGACUUUUCUCCCCAAAACACCACUGUGCUCCCUAAAAGAAGACACUCUCUCCCCCCACAUACCACUGCGCUCCCCAAACUAAGACGCCUACAGCCCCAAAUACCACUUCUCUACACCACACAUCACCUUUGCUCCACCAAAAUACCAC